CACGGAGGGUGCAAGCGUUAUUCGGAAUCACUGGGCGUAAAGAGCGCGUAGGCGGUCUCUUAAGUCAGAUGUGAAAGCCCGGGGCUCAACCCCGGAAGUGCAUUUGAAACUGAGGGACUUGAGUAUGGGAGAGGGAAGUGGAAUUCCUGGUGUAGCGGUGAAAUGCGUAGAUAUCAGGAGGAACACCGGUGGCGAAGGCGACUCCCUGGGUCACUACUGACGCUGAGGCACGAAAGCGUGGGGAGCAAAUAGG
rnacentral:rRNA from 1 species